GUGACUUUUUUCAGAAAUGAAAAUUGAAAAAAAAUCUAAUAUUAAAGAUUUUAAAAAUUGGGUUAAUUCAGGGAAGCCUAAGUUUAUAAUACAAAUAUGGUAAUCCUGAGCCAAGUCAAAAAUACAUUUUUGAAAGGUGCAGAGACUAGCGGAGAGGUAAAGUCCUCUUAAUUACCGAUAAAAACGCCCAACACCUGAACAAUAAUUUAUACUAUUGAAGGUGAUGAGAUAGUCCAGUAAAUAGUGAAAACUAUAA
rfam:Candidatus Profftella armatura, complete genome.